GUCCUGCAACAAGAUCCAAGUGAUAUGAAGUCGUUCUAAGGACCCGAGGGCUUCUAAUUCAACUGUGGAACACCAGUCUUCACCACCUUGCUCUCCUGUUCUGGAACCACACUUCCACCUGCCGAGGCCGAAGGAUUUCGUCUUUGAUUCAAACCGGAUUGAGACUGCUGUGCUCCUUAAACUUGUCUUCCAAAAGGGAAGACUGCUCCUUGGGAUGAUGACUCUGAGGAGGAGGAGAGUGCCUGCUACCAAUAUCUCUACCCAUCUCAACUUCCACCGAGGCACAGACGUCGCCGGGGAGUGCGAGGGUGAGAGAGGGCUCAAGUGCCUUGGGAGUCGAAGAAGAUCUUUGCAGCUCGAGUCCAGAGCUCGAAUGGGGACGACUACCGAUCGAGAGAUCGCUUCUCCCAUCAUAACUCAGCGUAAGAGAAAGGCCAGU